rnacentral:rRNA from 1 species
GGCGAGAGACGAUAGCGAACAAGUACCGUGAGGGAAAGAUGAAAAGACUUUGAAAAGAGAGUUAAACAGUACGUGAAAUUGUUGAAAGGGAAACGAUUGAAGUCAGUCAUACUAACGGGAAAUCAACCUCUUGAGUUUGGUCUCGUGGGUUUCGAAAAGUUUUAAAAGCCUUCGGAUUUUCGAGAUUGGGCUCUUCUGGUGUACUUUCUCGUACGGUUAGUCAACAUCGGUUUUGAAUGUCAUAAAAUGA